GGCGGGGUAGCUCAGUUGGUGAGAGCGCAGGAUUCAUAACCCUGAGGUCGGCGGUUCAAGCCCGCCCCCCGCUACCA
rnacentral:tRNA from 2 species